UGGCAGGAUGAGAAAUAAUUGGCGUAAUAUAUAGAAACAUAGCCUAAGAUUAGGUGUAAUCUCCUGUAAUAUCCUACAGCCUGUAGGAGAGCUGUAAACACUGAACAUGGGGAGAAGAUGGAUAUUGCAGAAUUGCCUUCACUGAAAGCCUUCCAGAGCGGACCUUCCAGAAUUAGCCCAUGGACACCUCAGGAGACCAAACUGGCCCAUCAACCCCUUCUGCACACAAAAACAUUUCCAUGAGUCUCUGAAAUGGGCACAGUAUUUCUGUGAGAGUUCCACUGGAUUUUUACAAAGGAUUCCUCCACCUCCUUGGUAAGCCUGACAAUAUUACACAAUAAUUGUUUGACGGUGACUUCACACAGUACCCACAGUUAGACCAUCAUUUCUUUACUGGAAUCCUGGAAGUAUGGCCAAAUUCCACCCUGAUAGCAUUUGUUGGAUUUGGCAGAUGAAAACCAAACAAGGCACAUCCGGCAAUGUAUUCAUAUGUAGAUAGAUUGCAAAAUCAAUCUUAUAUUUACUUCAAAUAUUUACUGACAUCAAAAGACACCUUUCCUCUUCCUCCUGCCUUUCCCUCCACCUUUUGCCCCUACAUUUUUUUCUACCAUACAUCACCAUAUGCUGCAUCCUGGACAGUGUCAUGGGGCAGUAUCUCCUGGCAUCUGAUUCCAGCCACCCUCUUGCUCCUAACACCAAACACCUCUGGCACUCAUGUAGAAGGCUGCUGGAUGAGCAAGAAGGACUGCUGUCUUCCCCUUGAGCCACUGGGCAGGGGCCGGAGAAAGAAAGUGGACUGAGCACAGUGCAAUUUUUUUUCCUGCAUCAUCUGAUAUCUCAAUCAAAUUCUUACAAAUGUAUAAUUUAAUGGGAAAAGAGGGUUGGUUAAAAAAAAAGUGGCUGAGGCAAAAUCCAGGAAAAUGAGAAGUAUUUGAGGAAAAAGAAGAAGAACUCCAUUUAAAACUCGGUCAAAUGAACAUGACCUUGCUCUAUUUCAUAAAACACUAUUUCUGUUUUUUCAUCAUUUCUAGCAAAUACACAGGAAGGGUGCUGAGAGGAGAAGAGAUUUAUUGUGGCAAAUUAUAGUCUGUGGCCAAAGUAAGGGUAGCCUUUUUCACUGACUACAACCUUAGAAAGACAUUUGAAAUUAUAUGAACCCAGCUGUCUGCAGCCUGUUGAAUAUAAUAAUUGGAGAGGUACCUGGUGUGUUUUUUAAUCUGUGUGAAUUUAUUAUGUAGAGGCUCCACACCUGGUGGCUGUGUGCACUAGUAUUCAGUAUUUUGCUGUCCCUGCUGCCAGUUACUAUGGCUUGUAAAUCUUUUCACUGGCAGCAGAACUAUCAUUCAGUUUUGACCACCUGUGUGAAAACAGAGGAGACAAACUAAACCAGACUGCUUACACCUACUGCCACUUUUGGUGUAUCUAUCUUUUUAUCACUUUGCUUAGCAAUAGUGCUUUGAGACUCUGACUGUGGACUGAAAACCCACUGUGCUACAUGCUGCGCAAGGACAAAACAAAAAGGAAGUCCUUGCCCUGAAUGAUUUACUUUCUCCAAAUAAAACCCACCCAGACAGCAGAAUGAGAUAAAGGAGCAGUAGUCAUCAUAGCAAUAGUGACGCACCAGGAUUACAGGCAGGGGCUGUGGGUCUCUGCAGCAUUGUCCCUGCAGAAGGACAGUGAUUAGCCAUGGAAAUGGAUGUGUUAGACCAACAGAGAUGUGAGAUGAUGAGGAACAGGAUAAGAUUCCUGCUGGGAAAUUGCAUCAUAUUAUGUAAAAUACAUGAUUCAGAAAGAAAAGACUGUGGAACUAAUGGAGGGCCUUGGAGCCCCAAAACAUGAAGGAAGGACAGAGAAGACUUCCCAGCUGAAGGGACAGGAAAGAAAUGCAGCAGCUGCCUGCACUGAGAGUGAUGGACCAGCCAAGAAAAAGGAUAAGGAGGAAGGUGGAAUCUUGCAGUCUGAUUUAGAACAGUCAUUAAGACUUGCCUGUAAAUCCCUUGCCAAAUCAUGUCCCUAAUGAUAUCGGAAGAGCAAAAAUAUAUCAUUUUCAUGUCCUCAAUUCCUAUGUGUAAAGCAGAAAAGUCUAUUCACAGGCAGGUAGAAUAAGCAGAUGUGCAGAGAAAGCAGCAUCCCUGUCUGAGAGCUGUGAUUGUUCAGGAAAGAGGAAAAGGAGGAUUAGAAGUUGCUUACACCUUCUCAGCUGCACAGUGCAGGAAGAAAGGAGCUGCAGGGAGCUCUUGUAGAAGCCAAGAGCAGUAGCAGCAAUUGAAAAAGGAAGCAUGGGGAGUUCAGGAAUGGUGCUGAGGUCACCAAUAGCACAUGGAAGAGGAAACAUAAGGAAAGCAAUUGAAAUGCCAAUAAUACAGUUGGCAAGAGAGCUGAUGAAAUCCACCAAGAGAUCAAGAUCUCAGG